GUCCCAUACCAUUGACUUUUCUUUGCUGCUGCUAAUGAUAUGAGCUGUCAGGCCUGUCAGCAAGACAGCCUGUUUUCGAGAGAUCAGGUUUUGCAGGAUUCCUUUGUCUGUCCUCAGGAGACCCCAGUGACACUGACAGCUUUAAUAGCCCAAGCCAAGGAAUCUGGGAACUCCGCUGCAUCUGCACUUCGCUGCAUCUGCACUUCGUCUGGAUCGGAAAGACGAAAGGGGAGGCAGGGAGACAUCUAUUCUGUUUGGUAAAAUAAACAAAACCUAUUUCUUCUAAAGAUCCCAAGGAAGGACACCCUGUUUCUGUAAUGUGGAAGAUCAAAGAAGGAAGAGCUUUCUCCUGUUGCGUACAUUUUAUAUUCCUUUAUCCUUGAGCAUGGAGUGCAGGAAACAUUUGUUAUCUGUGUUUAGAGGGACCAGAGACUAAUAACUUCUCAAGGUGCUGAUAAUCUUACGCUCUCCUCCAUCCAGUCCUGUUUAAACCUCUUUGGCCAGCGUGGUGCUCUGCAGACGGUUGCCCUCUUGGCAGGUUGGUCCGUAGCCACCCGACUUGUCAAAGUGGCAGCUGUAGGUAAGAUGCGAAGCUGAGCUCGGACUGUUAACAUCUCAUAACGUACUUCUGCAAGAACAAGAAUGCUACCGUCAAUUCUUGGCCGCGGUUAAGGACACUUUGACUGUCUAAAAUCCUCCCUGGAAUUUAAUGUCAGGCGACAUGUUCUUUGCUGGAAUAAAACGCUCCAGAAGCAGCUUUCAAUGCCGCUGCAGUUCUUGGCCAAAGCAAAGCACCCCGACUCUUUCCUAGAUUGGUAAGGGAUUACUCUGGAACGCUAUUUUGU